CCUACGGGAGGCAGCAGUGAGGAAUAUUGGUCAAUGGCCGGGAGCCUGAACCAGCCAAGUCGCGUGAAGGACGAAGGUCCCACGGAUUGUAAACUUCUUUUGUCAAGGAACAAAAUCAGGCACGCGUGCCUUUCCGAGUGUACUUGAAGAAAAAGCAUCGGCUAACUCCGUGCCAGCAGCCGCGGUAAUACGGAGGAUGCGAGCGUUAUCCGGAUUUAUUGGGUUUAAAGGGUGCGUAGGAGGGCUUUUAAGUCAGCGGUAAAAGUCCGGGGCUCAACCCCGGCGAGCCGUUGAAACUGGCUGUUUUGAGAUGUCGAGAGGUAUGCGGAAUGCGGGGUGUAGCGGUGAAAUGCUUAGAUAUCGCGAAGAACUCCGAUUGCGAAGGCAGCAUACCGGCGGGGAACUGACGCUGAGGCACGAAAGUGUGGGUAUCGAACAGGAUUAGAUACCCGGGUAGUC
rnacentral:rRNA from 1 species